CACGUAGGAGGCGAGCGUUGUCCGGAAUCAUUGGGCGUAAAGAGCGCGCAGGCGGCUUGGCAAGUCGGGUGUGAAAUCCCGGGGCUCAACCCCGUGACUGCAUUCGAUACUGUCAGGCUAGAGGUAGGUAGGGGAGAUCGGAAUUCCUGGUGUAGCGGUGAAAUGCGCAGAUAUCAGGAGGAAAACCGGUGGCGAAGGCGGAUCUCUGGGCCUUACCUGACGCUCAGGCGCGAAAGCUAGGGGAGCGAACAGG
rnacentral:rRNA from 1 species